CUAGCACUUUCACAGGUCCUCCCCUAGGCAGUGUGGCCAGGUUUUGGUAGCUGGUACUGAAAUUGACAACCCUUGAUUAUAUCCUUGCCCUGGGACUGUGUCAGUGGCGACUGUCAAUCAAUGGGACGGGA
ensembl:snoRNA